GGUUAAGCGACUAAGCGUACACGGUGGAUGCCCUGGCAGUCAGAGGCGAUGAAGGACGUGCUAAUCUGCGAUAAGCGUCGGUAAGGUGAUAUGAACCGUUAUAACCGGCGAUUUCCGAAUGGGGAAACCCAGUGUGUUUCGACACACUAUCAUUAACUGAAUCCAUAGGUUAAUGAGGCGAACCGGGGGAACUGAAACAUCUAAGUACCCCGAGGAAAAGAAAUCAACCGAGAUUCCCCCAGUAGCGGCGAGCGAACGGGGAGCAGCCCAGAGCCUGAAUCAGUGUGUGUGUUAGUGGAAGCGUCUGGAAAGGCGCGCGAUACAGGGUGACAGCCCCGUACACAAAAAUGCACAUGCUGUGAGCUCGAUGAGUAGGGCGGGACACGUGGUAUCCUGUCUGAAUAUGGGGGGACCAUCCUCCAAGGCUAAAUACUCCUGACUGACCGAUAGUGAACCAGUACCGUGAGGGAAAGGCGAAAAGAACCCCGGCGAGGGGAGUGAAAAAGAACCUGAAACCGUGUACGUACAAGCAGUGGGAGCACGCUUCGGCGUGUGACUGCGUACCUUUUGUAUAAUGGGUCAGCGACUUAUAUUCUGUAGCAAGGUUAACCGAAUAGGGGAGCCGAAGGGAAACCGAGUCUUAACUGGGCGUUAAGUUGCAGGGUAUAGACCCGAAACCCGGUGAUCUAGCCAUGGGCAGGUUGAAGGUUGGGUAACACUAACUGGAGGACCGAACCGACUAAUGUUGAAAAAUUAGCGGAUGACUUGUGGCUGGGGGUGAAAGGCCAAUCAAACCGGGAGAUAGCUGGUUCUCCCCGAAAGCUAUUUAGGUAGCGCCUCGUGAAUUCAUCUCCGGGGGUAGAGCACUGUUUCGGCAAGGGGGUCAUCCCGACUUACCAACCCGAUGCAAACUGCGAAUACCGGAGAAUGUUAUCACGGGAGACACACGGCGGGUGCUAACGUCCGUCGUGAAGAGGGAAACAACCCAGACCGCCAGCUAAGGUCCCAAAGUCAUGGUUAAGUGGGAAACGAUGUGGGAAGGCCCAGACAGCCAGGAUGUUGGCUUAGAAGCAGCCAUCAUUUAAAGAAAGCGUAAUAGCUCACUGGUCGAGUCGGCCUGCGCGGAAGAUGUAACGGGGCUAAACCAUGCACCGAAGCUGCGGCAGCGACACUAUGUGUUGUUGGGUAGGGGAGCGUUCUGUAAGCCUGUGAAGGUGUGCUGUGAGGCAUGCUGGAGGUAUCAGAAGUGCGAAUGCUGACAUAAGUAACGAUAAAGCGGGUGAAAAGCCCGCUCGCCGGAAGACCAAGGGUUCCUGUCCAACGUUAAUCGGGGCAGGGUGAGUCGACCCCUAAGGCGAGGCCGAAAGGCGUAGUCGAUGGGAAACAGGUUAAUAUUCCUGUACUUGGUGUUACUGCGAAGGGGGGACGGAGAAGGCUAUGUUGGCCGGGCGACGGUUGUCCCGGUUUAAGCGUGUAGGCUGGUUUUCCAGGCAAAUCCGGAAAAUCAAGGCUGAGGCGUGAUGACGAGGCACUACGGUGCUGAAGCAACAAAUGCCCUGCUUCCAGGAAAAGCCUCUAAGCAUCAGGUAACAUCAAAUCGUACCCCAAACCGACACAGGUGGUCAGGUAGAGAAUACCAAGGCGCUUGAGAGAACUCGGGUGAAGGAACUAGGCAAAAUGGUGCCGUAACUUCGGGAGAAGGCACGCUGAUAUGUAGGUGAAGUCCCUCGCGGAUGGAGCUGAAAUCAGUCGAAGAUACCAGCUGGCUGCAACUGUUUAUUAAAAACACAGCACUGUGCAAACACGAAAGUGGACGUAUACGGUGUGACGCCUGCCCGGUGCCGGAAGGUUAAUUGAUGGGGUUAGCGCAAGCGAAGCUCUUGAUCGAAGCCCCGGUAAACGGCGGCCGUAACUAUAACGGUCCUAAGGUAGCGAAAUUCCUUGUCGGGUAAGUUCCGACCUGCACGAAUGGCGUAAUGAUGGCCAGGCUGUCUCCACCCGAGACUCAGUGAAAUUGAACUCGCUGUGAAGAUGCAGUGUACCCGCGGCAAGACGGAAAGACCCCGUGAACCUUUACUAUAGCUUGACACUGAACAUUGAGCCUUGAUGUGUAGGAUAGGUGGGAGGCUUAGAAGUGUGGACGCCAGUCUGCAUGGAGCCGACCUUGAAAUACCACCCUUUAAUGUUUGAUGUUCUAACGUUGACCCGUGAUCCGGGUUGCGGACAGUGUCUGGUGGGUAGUUUGACUGGGGCGGUCUCCUCCUAAAGAGUAACGGAGGAGCACGAAGGUUGGCUAAUCCUGGUCGGACAUCAGGAGGUUAGUGCAAUGGCAUAAGCCAGCUUGACUGCGAGCGUGACGGCGCGAGCAGGUGCGAAAGCAGGUCAUAGUGAUCCGGUGGUUCUGAAUGGAAGGGCCAUCGCUCAACGGAUAAAAGGUACUCCGGGGAUAACAGGCUGAUACCGCCCAAGAGUUCAUAUCGACGGCGGUGUUUGGCACCUCGAUGUCGGCUCAUCACAUCCUGGGGCUGAAGUAGGUCCCAAGGGUAUGGCUGUUCGCCAUUUAAAGUGGUACGCGAGCUGGGUUUAGAACGUCGUGAGACAGUUCGGUCCCUAUCUGCCGUGGGCGCUGGAGAACUGAGGGGGGCUGCUCCUAGUACGAGAGGACCGGAGUGGACGCAUCACUGGUGUUCGGGUUGUCAUGCCAAUGGCACUGCCCGGUAGCUAAAUGCGGAAGAGAUAAGUGCUGAAAGCAUCUAAGCACGAAACUUGCCCCGAGAUGAGUUCUCCCUGACCCUUUAAGGGUCCUGAAGGAACGUUGAAGACGACGACGUUGAUAGGCCGGGUGUGUAAGCGCAGCGAUGCGUUGAGCUAACCGGUACUAAUGAACCGUGAGGCUUAACCUU
rnacentral:rRNA from 1 species